AGCGCUGUCCUCAGCAAAAGCUGGUGUGGUUUUUUUAGGUCCAAAAAUAAAGGAACCCUGGAAUGAGCCGCCCAGGUACCAGGCCUAGAGGUAAAAAAAAAAAAGAGGGAAGAGCCAGACAAGGAUGCUAUUCACUGACCUGGUUGGGUUAAAACAAAUACCCACACCCCAAAAAGGGGGGUUGGAGAGGAAGGAAGCCUUGGACGGCAAGAAUAGGCAGAAAGCUGGCAGGGCGGCCGACCAGGCCACAGGUGCGCAUACCCCCGGACCCUCCACCCCGCCGGGCGCGCGCCUGGGCCUCAGCAGGGAGUAGGAGUGCCAGCCAGUUCCCACUGGCCCACACCGACCUGGGGAUUUCCACCGUCCGGCUACGGAGACCCGUUGCCGCCGGCGCUUUCCUGCUGGGGCCACCAGAAGGCGGGGCCUCAGAGCGGGAAGCCCCUCCCUGCAGCCUCGCCAUCCCUCGGUCAGGUCUGGUACAUGGGGCAGCUGUCACUGCUGUGCCUGGUUGGGAUGGAUGGGCCAGGAUCUUCAAAUAUUUUGGCUUGCGUGAGCUGAGUAGUUCAACCCGAAACUCAGGAGAGAGGGAGGAAGGGAGGGCGCUUAGCAUUUGGGUACAUAUUUACAUUAUGUUGUUUAACUUGGACUUGGCUGACCC
rnacentral:lncRNA from 1 species